AUGAUGGAAGUUUCCUAUUUUUAGGGGAGAGAUCACCUGGAGGGACAUAGGAGGCUGGGUUCCCUCAUCUCUCUUUCUCAUCCAGCCCCUACCCCUCACUCUGUCUGAACUGCAAAGAAGAAAAGAAGGGACAUGAGAUCUGGGUGACCAACCCAAGACCUUAUCAGGU
rnacentral:lncRNA from 1 species